CCCAGCUCCAAUAGCGUAUAUUUAAGUUGUUGCAGUUAAAAAGCUCGUAGUUGGAUUUCGGGUGGGUUCUAGCGGUCCGCCUAUGGUGAGUACUGCUAUGGCCUUCCUUUCUGUCAUAAACGGGCUUCUGGGCUUAACUGUCCGGGACUCGGGUGUGACGUUGUUACUUUGAGUAAAUUAGAGUGUUCAAAGCAGGCUUACGCCCUGAAUACUUUAGCAUGGAAUAACACGAUAGGACUCUGCCCUAUCCUGUUGGCCUGUAGGAGUGGAGUAAUGAUUAAGAGGGACAGUCGGGGGCAUUCGUAUUUCAUUGUCAGAGGUGAAAUUCUUGGAUUUAUGAAAGACGAACUACUGCGAAAGCAUUUGCCAAGGAUGUUUUCAUUAAUCAAGAACGAAAGUUGGGGGCUCGAAGACGAUUAGAUACCGUCGUAGUCUCAACCAUAAACGAUGCCGACUAGGGAUUGGCGAAUGUUUUUUUAAUGACUUCGCCAGCACCUUAUGAGAAAUCAAAGUUUUUGGGUUCCGGGGGGAGUAUGGUCGCAAGGCUGAAACUUAAAGGAAUUGACGGAAGGGCACCACCAGGCGUUAAGCAAAUCGCUCUAGCGCAAGUGGGAGUGAAAAGCUUCUGCUAGUCGGUCUGAUUGAUCUC
rnacentral:rRNA from 1 species